rnacentral:rRNA from 1 species
GGCUAACUACGUGCCAGCAGCCGCGGUAAUACGUAGGGUGCAAGCGUUGUCCGGAAUUACUGGGCGUAAAGAGUUCGUAGGCGGUUUGUCGCGUCGUUUGUGAAAACCAGCAGCUCAACUGCUGGCUUGCAGGCGAUACGGGCAGACUUGAGUACUGCAGGGGAGACUGGAAUUCCUGGUGUAGCGGUGAAAUGCGCAGAUAUCAGGAGGAACACCGGUGGCGAAGGCGGGUCUCUGGGCAGUAACUGACGCUGAGGAACGAAAGCGUGGGUAGCGAACAGGAUUAGAUACCCUGGUAGUCCACGCCGUAAACGGUGGGCGCUAGGUGUGGGUUCCUUCCACGGAAUCCGUGCCGUAGCUAACGCAUUAAGCGCCCCGCCUGGGGAGUACGGCCGCAAGGCUAAAACUCAAAUGAAUUGACGG